AUGAUGAGAUUUCUCAAUAAAGCAAAGUUGGUGGAGUUGGCCAAGUUUAAUGACUUCAAACUGCUGGGGACAGGGAUGGUGAUCAAGGUUCAACCAUGGUCCCUUGAUCAUCAAGUUGUUGGGAAGAUGCACACCAUUUGGGUCAGGCUGGCCAAGGUUCCAGAUUGUUUUAGGCAUUUUUUGGGUGUUUGUGAGGUGGCUAUUGCAGUUGGACCUGUCCUGGAAAUUGAUAUGGAUACUAUAAAUGAGGAGAAAAUUAGAGCAAAGUGUGGGAUCAGAGAUGUGGAGAAAAUACCAACUCAAGUGGAAAUCACUUCCCCUGAUCUUCUUAUGUUUAGAAUUGGGAUGGAAACUGAGAAGGUGGUGGGGAUUGGCUGGUAUAAGGAAGAAAAGAGGAAAAAUGAUAGCAGCAAUUUCUCAGAAGGGGGAGAGGAUGAGAUUGACAAUAGGAAGAGGACUAGAAUGGAGGAGAAUGAACAUAGAGGGGUUUCUCUGGGAUGCUUAUCCCUGAAACAAAGUGAGGAGGUGGAUAAAAGAAUUGAAGGAAUGAAAACUCAAAUGGAUGUGACCAUGUUGCAGUGGCAAAAGGAGAUGGCUUUGGAGAGAGGAAAAUGGCAAAAAGAAAGUGAAAUCAUGUUCAGCAAGAUCAAAACCUUGGAGGAAGACAAGAUUAGAAACAAUGCACUAUGGGCUAAAAAUGAAAACAGAAUCAGGGAACUAGAAAAGGUUCAGGCAGAGUUGCGGGAGAUUAGUAAAAAACAACUUGAAGAAAUUCAGAAACUGACACAAGAGGCUGCCAAUAGAGAGGAGUAUGAAAUGGAGUUAGCUAAUAUGGACCUUGAAGAUUAUGAGAAAGAGACUCAACAGAAAAAGGAAGAUACUGAGUCUGGGAAAUAUAAUGAGCCCACUGAUUAUAAUGCUAGCCAAGAAUCUAUUGGGACUCUGGGGGAGAAAAUGGCUAAAAUACAUGGAAGUGAGAUCCUGGAUAAAGAAGGGGAGGAGAAAGAUGUUGAAAUCAAGAGAAGCCUGAGAAACAAAGGAAGAGAAGACAAGAAGAUUGAGGAUAUGGCUAAAAGCAGAGCUGAGGAGAGGGACAAUUAUGGAAACAGCUGGAAUCACAUGGGGGCAACAAUGUAG
rnacentral:rRNA from 1 species